rnacentral:rRNA from 1 species
GACGAACGCUGGCGGCGUGCUUAACACAUGCAAGUCGAACGGAAAGGCCCCUUUGGGGGUACUCGAGUGGCGAACGGGUGAGCAACACGUGAGUAACCUGCCCUUGACUUCGGGAUAACUUCAGGAAACUGGGGCUAAUACCGGAUAGGAAUCCUUGCUGCAUGGUGGGGGUUGGAAAGCUUCGGCGGUUUUGGAUGGACUCGCGGCUUAUCAGCUUGUUGGUGGGGUAGUGGCUUACCAAGGCUUUGACGGGUAGCCGGCCUGAGAGGGCGACCGGCCACAUUGGGACUGAGAUACGGCCCAGACUCCUACGGGAGGCAGCAGUGGGGAAUAUUGCACAAUGGGCGGAAGCCUGAUGCAGCAACGCCGCGUGCGGGAUGACGGCCUUCGGGUUGUAAACCGCUUUCAGCAGGGGCGAAGCUUGUGGUGACGGUACCUGCAGAAGAAGCACCGGCUAACUACGUG